rnacentral:misc_RNA from 1 species
ACAAGCAGGAGAGCAGCUGUCUGCUCGCCUUGUCUUGGCUUUCCGCCUCACCCACGUCGACUGCUAGACCGGAUGGCGACCGCGUCGACAUAUCUUGCGCAGUCUUUUCAGAAGCUGGUGGACGCGGACGCAUCCCUGCAACUUCACAUACUGGAGCGCGUCUCUGCGCAUGUUGCGUUGCAUGAGCCCACGGCCGCUAUCUCCUCCUCAGCUUGUCCGAAAGCGCCGCUCGUCGAUGUGCCUCUAUGGUCUCGCCCUGAGGGCUUUCCACCUCUCCCACACAGUGCACAUGCAAAGCCGCCGUUGGAGUCUGAGCCACCUCUGCGCUGGGCGCCGGUGGAGAUGGUGCUGAUGCUGGACGUGUUCGAGGUGGCUCAGCGCCAGCCGAGUGGGUGCCAAGCUCUCUUCCUCACUUCCAGCGUCUGCAUUGAGGCUUCCGCCUCUGCGGCGGUGACCGCGUGGCUGAGCUGCUACGUGACGGGUUUCAUCGAGGAGCCGCGCACCGAGGGUGCAGUGGAGGCUUCCUGUGCUGGUGCGCGGGUGCGGCGCUUGCCAUGGCCGUGGCCCUGGUGCGCGGAGAUUCUGCACAGACGGCUGCGGUGUCAGGUGCGGGUUCUUCUUCUGCGUGUACCUAGCCUGUACACUGCCAUCACCUCUGGCGCAGGAACACGUGAACCCAGCGAGCGCCUCGGCGACGCGGUCCCAGUGACUCCCGCUAUAGCGACUCCAUCAGCGCCUCCCUCUGGAGAGGCCGACUCCUUGACAGAGCAGCUUAGUUCCAUCGCGCCUCUCUCCACGGAGCUUGGGCAACUGCCCAGCACACGGCUCACGAACACGCGCAGCCUCUGCUGCGCCUAUCCGUCUGAUCGCUUCCUGGAGUGCUCGCACACGGUGCAAAUGAUUGGAGUGGUGCACCAGGUCUUCUACGAGGGCCACAGCGCAGCGUUGCCCGCUCCAUGGGUGACUGUGCUGCUUCUGCCACUGACAGCCUCUCUUCCUCGUUCCGCGUUUUCCAAGUGCGGCAAAGAGCCCCCCAGGCGUCGGGAGGUCGACUUGAGCCUCCUCGGUGCCCUGCAGCGCAGCGCCGUGGCCGUCAUCGGGGGCGUCAUUGCGGUGCGUGGGCACACGCAGGUGGCAAGGCGUCGUGCCUGCGCAAGGGCAGAGGCAGCGGCACCGCUUCGCCUCGGUGGAGUAGCGGAGGCGUCGUUGGAGGAGUACAUCGUUGCCACCUGGGCGGCGCCCGUGCAGCUUUCAGCCGGAGUUUUACAAACCAACAGUUGCUCGUGGCUGAGCAGGAACUGUGCGGACUCGGUUGUAGAAGAAACAGCAAGUGCUUCUCCGUCAGCCACGAUGGCGUCACUAGGUUCCGCGGCGCGGGGGCCUGUGGCGGCGCCACCUCAUCACAUACGCAGCGCUGCGGAGGGCGCCGAUGUCGGCUGUUCGGAACACUGCGAGAAUGCGGCGGUGCAAUUGACGGUCGCGGAAGAGGAGGCGACUGCGCGCGCUGCUCUGAUGUUCUGGGAGGGCGCUCGGCUGGCGCUCGGGAUGGAGGCGCCAGGGCAGGCAGAGGACAGGGACAGAGCGACUUGGGUAGCGCGUUUGUUCAGCGCCUCACUCGAUUUCCUCGUCGCUUCUCAGCUGGCGCUUGUUUCGGCGCAGAUGGCCGAUGGUGUGGUGGUGCUUGCCGUGGAUGAGGCGGUGCCGGAGUCCCUGCUGACGCGACUUCUGCGGCGGCUCGAUCGUGUGGUGCCAGGCGCGACACUCGAGGUGCCGUCCUCGGUUCUAGCGCGCGCCAAGCCGCCGUUUUUUCUCCCCUCGUACCGCAUGCAGCGCGUCCCCGCGCCGCCCGCGUGGAGAGCGAACGCGCCAGCAUCAGCAGCCUGUGCGGUAGUGGUAACGCCAAUGGAAUCACCGGCGGCGCGUCGAGCGCGGCACCGUCGCGUAUGCGCAGGGACUGCCGUGACUGCUCCGCCACCACCCUGUUACCCGGAGACCCUCCAGGGUGGCGUCCUUACGCACGCAAACGGUCGAACUCUUGUGCUGCAACGCAUCGAGGUACUUCCUGCACCGACGCUCAAGCUCCUGCAGGAGGCCCUGCGCGAUGAAGCUAGCGACGUGGAAAAGAUGGAUGCGCCAGUGUUUGGCUCGCAUGCGAGCGAGCGCGCCUUCGGCUCUGGUGUCGCGACGUCGCCAUGCACAGCGGGACAGCGGCAGGGAGAAGCAGCGCAGACACCGUCCACGAAUCUCGCUGGCGCUACCCGUCGUUUGAUUCGACGCGAGGGAGGCCAAGCAGUGCAGUACUGCGCCACCCACAGCGCUCUGUGCAGCGUACGACAGGGAGCGUCUCUCAUGCAGAAGAGCCAGCUGGUCGAGUUUGCCGAGCGCUGCGACGUUGUCGUGCGCCCGGCGUACGACAUGCACCGGCAGACGGCUGCGCUGCAGGGCAGCACCGUGCCCGCUUUUUGCGAGCUGCUUCACUCUCGUGGCGAGGCAUGGCUGCGGUUGCUGGGCGCGGCGCUGACGCUUCCUGUGCACAACGCCACCGCUGAUGGCUCUUCACCCAACCCUGUCGCCACGUCACCAAGCUGCUCCCCCAACGACACACCGGCGCUGUCGGAGGCGUGCAGCCGGCUCCUCAGCACGUAUUUCAUGGCCGCCAAGGCACGGUGUGUAGAGGGCGCCGACGCGAGCAUGAUGAAGACUCUGGUAAAGCUCACCUUGGCACACACGGAGUGGCGCACACGCCUCACGAUAGCCCUUCCGAAACGGACAGGGCACCCUACAACAGCCUCCUCUCCGACCCGUGCGGUGACGGCGCUGAUCGACGCUGUGGCCGCCGUGGGGCUGUGCGACGCGACGCUGCACUUCUUCACAGCCAAGACGCUCCUCGGUGAGUGCGUGUUUCGCCUUCUUGAGUCCGAGGCGUGGCCCACGUGGGCGCCCGAUUACUGCAACGUCCCGCUUCCACAGCGCGCGGAUCACGGCUUGGGCGGCGCUUUUGUGCACGGCGAAGGGGGCGGGCCACCCGAUUGGCAGCGGCUUUACGCCGAAGUUGCGCAUCGCACGUGCCUCGUGCCGGCAUCGGUGCACACCACAGAGUCGCCGUCGUCCGCCUUCUCGAUCCUGCAGCUGGCUCAGGACUUGCAAGGCCAUCUCGAGCGCACGGUGCAGCAAAGCCACCUCGCUCAUUCAUUGACGGAGGGAGGCGUGUGAGAAUGCUGUGCCUGCACGUGCGCGUCUGCCAUUGCGACAGUUUCGUUCCGCUCGCCGUAGUGGGCCCUUCUCCUCCAGCCGUUAUGGACUGCUGGCUCAUGUCGAUGCCUGAGCCUCGCGCGUAGCGCCCGUCUUGUUUUCUUUCACUGCUUCAUCUGCUCACCUUGAUCUGCUAACACUAAUACUUCGACAACCGUAUGCGAUGGCACACUGCUUGGCAG